rnacentral:rRNA from 1 species
UGGUGGGUUGCCUUGUCAGGUUGAUUCCGGUAACGAACGAGACCUCAGCCUGCUAACUAGUCACGCCUUCUCCGGAAGGCGGCGGACUUCUUAGAGGGACUAUUGGCGAUUGGCCAAUGGAAGCAUGAGGCAAUAACA